UAAAAUAAUUAAGGGCACACAAAGGAUGCCUAGGUAGUAAGAGCCGAUGAAGGACGUGGUAAGCUGCGAUAAGCCUAGAUAAGUUGCAAUCGAACGUAAGAGUCUAGGAUUUCCGAAUAGAGCAAUCUAUUAAGAUGGAGUCUUAAUACGAAAGAGGGAACCGCGUGAACUGAAACAUCUAAGUAACGCGAGGAAAAGAAAGUAAAAACGAUACCCAAAGUAGCGGCGAGCGAACUGGGUCAAGCCUAAACCUUAAAUAUGUCAAGGAUACAGCCGUUGUAUUUAAGGGGUAGAGGGACAAAGUAGUGAAGAACUGUAAGAUAUUCAAUAUAGUGUAAUGAUGAAUUAGAAUUGUCUGGAAAGGUGAACCGCAGAAGGUGAAAGUCCUGUAUAAGUAAAUCCUUACACAUAUAACUUUGCUCCCAAGUAACAUGGAACACGAGGAAUUCUGUGUGAAUCAGUGAGGACCAUAUCUCAUAAGGCUAAAUACUCUUACUAACCGAUAGCGCAUAGUACCGUGAGGGAAAGGUGAAAAGAACCCCUGGAGGGGAGUGAAAUAGAACCUGAAAUUGUGUGCUUACAAGCGGUCAGAGCCCAUUUGGGUGAUGGCGUGCCUUUUGGAGAAUGAUCCUGCGAGUUACGUUAAACGGCGAGGUUAAGUAUAACGGAGCCGAAGGGAAACCAAGUCUUAAUAGGGCGAUUUAGUCGUUUGGCGUAGACGCGAAACCUGGUGAUCUAAACCUGUCCAGGAUGAAGCUGUGGUAAGACACAGUGGAGGUCCUAACCCACCGCCGUUGAAAAGUUGGGGGAUGAGGUAGGUUUAGGGGUGAAAAGCCAAUCGAACCAGGAGAUAGCUCGUUCUCUCCGAAAUGCAUCUAGGUGCAGCCUUGAGUGUUCAAUUAUGGGGGUAGAGCACUGAAUGAUCUAGGGGGCAUAUUGCUUACUGAAAUCAAUCAAACUCCGAAUACCAUAAUUUAUAGCUCAGGAGUGAGACUAUGGGAGUUAACUUCCAUUGUCAAAAGGGAAACAACCCAGACCACCAGCUAAGGUCCCUAAUUAUAACUAAGUGGGAAAGGAGGUGGAGAUUCACAAACAACUAGGAGGUUGGCUUAGAAGCAGCCAUACCUUUAAAGAGUGCGUAAUAGCUCACUAGUCGAGAGUCUCUGCGCCGACAAUGUAACGGGGCUAAGUUAUAAACCGAAGCUGUGGAAUCCUUUUGGAUUGGUAGGAGAGCGUUCUGUAGGCCGUUGAAGAAGAAGGGUAACCGACUUUGGAGGUAUCAGAAGUGAGAAUGCAGGAAUAAGUAGCGAGAAAGGGGGCGAGAAUCCCCCUCGCCGGAAGACCAAGGUUUUCAGGGUAAAGCUUGUCUUCCCUGAGUAAGCCGGGACCUAAGCCCAGGCUAUAAUGCGUAGGCGAAUGGAAAACAGAUUAAUAUUUCUGUGCCAGUCAUGUAUUGUGAUGGAGGGACGCAGAAGGGUAUGCGCGCGGACGAACGGAAGUGUCCGUAGAAGUAUGUAGGGUGACUUAGUAGGUAAAUCCAUUAAGUUAAAUCUGAGGUAUGAUAUACAGUCGUAAGAUAAAUGCGCAAAUCCCACGCUGCCAAGAAAAGCUUCUAACGUUAAUAUAUGACUGCCCGUACUGUAAACCGACACAGGUGGUCAGGAUGAGAAAUCUAAGGCGGACAGGCUAACUCUCGUUAAGGAACUCUGCAAAAUAACCUCGUAACUUCGGGAGAAGAGGAGCCCUUGUGUGUGAGUAUACACGCGAUACAAAGCGCACGAGGGUCGCAGUGAAGAGGCUCAAGCAACUGUUUAACAAAAACACAGGUCUAUGCUAAGCUGUAAGGCGAUGUAUAUGGGCUGACACCUGCCCAGUGCUGGAAGGUUAAGAGGAGGAGUGAGAGCUCCGAAUUGAAGCCCCAGUGAACGGCGGCCGUAACUAUAACGGUCCUAAGGUAGCGAAAUUCCUUGUCGGGUAAG
rnacentral:rRNA from 1 species